GACGAACGCUGGCGGCGUGCCUAAUACAUGCAAGUAGGACGCAGUUGCGAACGGGUGAGUAACGCGUAGGGAACUACCUAUAAGAGGGGGAUAACUAUUGGAAACGAUAGCUAAUACCGCAUACUAGAUGAUGGACCUGCGUUGUAUUAGCGAGUAGGUAGGGUAAUGGCCUACCUAGGGAACGAGACAUAACCGACCUGGCAGGGUGAACGGCAACCCUGGGGCUGAGACACGUCCCAGACUCCUACGGGAGGCCACAGUAGGGAAUCUUCGGCAAUGGGGGGAAGCCGGACAGAGCAACGCCGCGUGAGUGAAGAAGGUUUUCGGAUCGUAAAGCUCUGUUGUUAGGGAAGCGGUACUUAAACAGAAAGGGACGGCUAACUACGUGCCAGCAGCCGCGGUAAUAC
rnacentral:rRNA from 1 species